rnacentral:rRNA from 1 species
UUCUUUAUCACCGAGUGCUUGCACUCACCGAUACAGAGUUGAGUGGCGAACGGGUGAGUAACACGUGGGCAACCUGCCCAAAAGAGGGGGAUAACACUUGGAAACAGGUGCUAAUACCGCAUAACCAUAGUUACCGCAUGGUAACUAUGUAAAAGGUGGCUAUGCUACCGCUUUUGGAUGGGCCCGCGGCGCAUUAGCUAGUUGGUGGGGUAAAGGCUUACCAAGGCAAUGAUGCGUAGCCGAACUGAGAGGUUGAUCGGCCACAUUGGGACUGAGACACGGCCCAAACUCCUACGGGAGGCAGCAGUAGGGAAUCUUCCACAAUGGGCGAAAGCCUGAUGGAGCAACGCCGCGUGGGUGAAGAAGGUCUUCGGAUCGUAAAACCCUGUUGUUAGAGAAGAAAGUGCGUGAGAGUAACUGUUCACGUUUCGACGGUAUCUAACCAGAAAGCCACGGCUAACUACGUGCCAGCAGCCGCGGUAAUACGUAGGUGGCAAGCGUUAUCCGGAUUUAUUGGGCGUAAAGGGAACGCAGGCGGUCUUUUAAGUCUGAUGUGAAAGCCUUCGGCUUAACCGGAGUAGUGCAUUGGAAACUGGGAGACUUGAGUGCAGAAGAGGAGAGUGGAACUCCAUGUGUAGCGGUGAAAUGCGUAGAUAUAUGGAAGAACACCAGUGGCGAAAGCGGCUCUCUGGUCUGUAACUGACGCUGAGGUUCGAAAGCGUGGGUAG